rfam:Myotis brandtii contig153851, whole genome shotgun sequence.
GGGGUUGCUGCUCGCCCUCGAUCCCACCGCCGCCACCAUUAUUGCUGCUGCCGAGCAGGUGCUGCUGGUGGUGAUGGUGAUAGUCCGGCGGGGGCGGUGGGGCCCCUG